rnacentral:lncRNA from 1 species
UUUUGACGCUGUGGGCUUGUUUUCGUCUGAACAGACAAGGGUUAAUUUUCAUCAUAGUUCUUUCUAUAAGAUGAUUGUAUGUGUUCUUUCAACUCUCCAGUUAUAAUGACUACUUGUGUUUUUGUGAGUCUCUCCCCUACCUGUCUUCAUGUCUUUUUAGGUAUAAUACUAAUUUGUCAGUUUCCUGUCUCAUAUCGAGUUGAGGAACUGAUCCAAGUCC